AAUACGGAUGGCCACAUAUCAAACACUUGGAUGAAUGGAUGAGGUGGCAGGCUACCGGACUGUAAUUUUUUGCAGGUGGCCUUGUUGCAGAUGAGCUAAUAACAUAUGAAGAUCCUCCUGGAAAUCUUGAUAAGUGAUAAACAGGUUUUAUAUGACAACAAAACAUGCUGAUCCCAUCCUGGAAUACAAGCUUGCCCAC
rnacentral:lncRNA from 1 species